rnacentral:rRNA from 1 species
AAGGUAGCUUGCUACUGGACCUAGCGGCGGACGGGUGAGUAAUGCUUAGGAAUCUGCCUAUUAGUGGGGGACAACAUUCCGAAAGGAAUGCUAAUACCGCAUACGCCCUACGGGGGAAAGCAGGGGAUCUUCGGACCUUGCGCUAAUAGAUGAGCCUAAGUCGGAUUAGCUAGUUGGUGGGGUAAAGGCCUACCAAGGCGACGAUCUGUAGCGGGUCUGAGAGGAUGGUCCGCCACACUGGGACUGAGACACGGCCCAGACUCCUACGGGAGGCAGCAGUGGGGAAUAUUGGACAAUGGGCGGAAGCCUGAUCCAGCCAUGCCGCGUGUGUGAAGAAGGCCUUUUGGUUGUAAAGCACUUUAAGCGAGGAGGAGGCUCCUUUAGUUAAUACCUAAAGUGAGUGGACGUUACUCGCAGAAUAAGCACCGGCUAACUCUGUGCCAGCAGCCGCGGUAAUACAGAGGGUGCGAGCGUUAAUCGGAUUUACUGGGCGUAAAGCGUGCGUAGGCGGCUUUUUAAGUCGGAUGUGAAAUCCCUGAGCUUAACUUAGGAAUUGCAUUCGAUACUGGAAAGCUAGAGUAUGGGAGAGGAUGGUAGAAUUCCAGGUGUAGCGGUGAAAUGCGUAGAGAUCUGGAGGAAUACCGAUGGCGAAGGCAGCCAUCUGGCCUAAUACUGACGCUGAGGUACGAAAGCAUGGGGAGCAAACAGGAUUAGAUACCCUGGUAGUCCAUGCCGUAAACGAUGUCUACUAGCCGUUGGGGCCUUUGAGGCUUUAGUGGCGCAGCU